rnacentral:lncRNA from 12 species
AGGGGGCGACGCGAAAUUUUGGGGGUCCAUAGAAAAUCCAGAGGGAUUCCCACGUUCUACAAGAACUCCUCUCAAACGUGGGGACCCCAAAAAUCUCACGCGACUCCUCCAACACUCGUGGAGACCCCCCAAAAUCCCCUCAGAGCCCCCGCAAUAAACGCUGCUGGUCCCCAACCGGUGAGGUGUCCGAAUUUGGGGAGGGGGCGACGCGAAAUUUGGGGGUCCCCAAAAAAAUCAGAGGAAUCCUCGCACUCCUGGUGAACCCCUCUCAACGAUGGGGACCCC